UUUGGACCUCUCGUCUCUUUGCUGCUAGCUAAAGAACACCGCAGAAUCUCAUGACCAUUUUUUUGGGGGGUUGUUUGGAUCUCGGUAUUUUCCAUCUAUAUUUCCAUACUUACUUUAAGAAUCAACACAACGAUUCAACUUAUAGUAAUCGUUGUUUGCUUUCAUCCAAUGCAAUCCUAUGGAGGUACAAUGGAGAUCUAAUUUGGGCAAUUGAAGGCAUAGAUGUCAGAAAUUGAACCCAGAUUUGGACGGUUGAGCGAAACGUGAUUGAUAGUUACCAUGUAUACUCUGAAUUUUGCAUUGUUUAGGUUUUAUCAAAUGGAAUCGAUUGGCAAGUCCUGUAACUCUUACCAUGGCUUCGUGCUGGGGAUAGCCGUACUGGAAAUAACGACACAUAACGUGUGGGCACAAAGACUUAAAAAUUGCGUGGUCGAUUUUUAAAAGUUAGUCUUUAAUGUAUAGUAAGCCCAAUAUAAACGAAAGCCCAUCCAUCUAAUUGACUCCUCCAAAUUGGCAAGGAUCCAAUUAUGUAUUUACCGGGUUAUAAGGGACGCGCGGACCCUUCAUGGGUAUGAAAUUUAUUAUAAUUAUUUUACGAUUUUAA